rnacentral:rRNA from 1 species
AUUGAACGCUGGCGGCAGGCCUAACACAUGCAAGUCGAGCGGAUGAAGUGAGCUUGCUCCUGGAUUCAGCGGCGGACGGGUGAGUAAUGCCUAGGAAUCUGCCUGGUAGUGUGGGAUAACGUCCGGAAACGGGCGCUAAUACCGCAUACGUCCUGAGGGGGAAAGUGGGGGAUCUUCGGACCUCACGCUAUCAGAUGAGCCUAGGUCGGAUUAGCUAGUUGGUGGGGUAAAGGCCUACCAAGGCGACGAUCCGUAACUGGUCUGAGAGGAUGAUCAGUCACACUGGAACUGAGAAACGGUCCAGACUCCUACGGGAGGCAGCAGUGGGGAAUAUUGGACAAUGGGCGAAAGCCUGAUCCAGACAUGCCGCGUGUGUGAAGAAGGUCUUCGGAUUGUAAAGCACUUUAAGUGGGGAGGAAGGGCAGUAAGUUAAUACCUUGCUGUUUUGACGUUACCAACAGAAUAAGCACCGGCUAACUUCGUG